AGAGUUUGAUCCUGGCUCAGGAUGAAUGCUGGCGGCAUGCCUAAUACAUGCAAGUCGAGCGGUAGCAUGGCUUCACCGUUUCCUUGACACACUUGGCCUUAUGCGAGUGGAAAGAUUCGAGGGAACCGUGAAGCUGAUGACGAGCGGCGGACGGCUGAGUAACGCGUGAGAACAUACCCCAAAGUGAGGGAUAACUAGUCGAAAGAUUAGCUAAUACCGCAUGUGAUCUUUGGAUUAAAGCAUUUAUGCGCUUUGGGAAUGGCUUGCGUACGAUUAGAUAGUUGGUGAGGUAAAGGCUCACCAAGUCGACGAUCGUUAGAUGGUUUGAGAGGAUGAUCAUCCAGACUGGGACUGAGACACGGCCCAGACUCCUACGGGAGGCAGCAGUAGGGAAUCUUUCACAAUGGGCGAAAGCCUGAUGGAGCAACGCCGCGUGCAGGAUGAAGGCCUUCGGGUUGUAAACUGCUUUUAUAAGCGAGAAAUAUGAUGGUAACUUAUGAAUAAGGAUCGGCUAACUACGUGCCAGCAGCCGCGGUCAUACGUAGGAUCCGAGCAUUAUCCGGAGUGACUGGGUGUAAAGAGUUGCGUAGGUGGCAAGGUAAGUAGAUAGUGAAAUCUGGUGGCUCAACCAUUCAGACUAUUAUCUAAACUAUCUAGCUCGAGACUGUUAUGGGUAACUGGAAUUUCUAGUGUAGGAGUGAAAUCCGUAGAUAUUAGAAGGAACACCGAUAGCGUAGGCAGGUUACUGGGACAGUUCUGACACUAAGGCACGAAAGCGUAGGGAGCAAACGGGAUUAGAUACCCCGGUAGUCUACGCCGUAAACGAUGGAUACUAGCAGUUUUGGGUAUCGACCCCCGGAGUUGCGAAGCUAACGCGUUAAGUAUCCCACCUGUGUAGUACGAUCGCAAGAUUAAAACAUAAAGGAAUUGACGGGGACCCGCACAAGCGGU
rnacentral:rRNA from 1 species